rnacentral:tRNA from 1 species
GGGCUCGUAGCUGAGUGGUUUAGCUCCGUCCUCUUAAGUCGGAGACGUAGGUUCGAUUCCUACCGGGCUCA